rnacentral:rRNA from 1 species
AUUGAACGCUGGCGGCAGGCUUAACACAUGCAAGUCGAACGAGUGGCGGACGGGUGAGUCAUGCAUGGGAAACUGGAUUAUGGAGGGGGAUAACGACGGGAAACUGUCGCUAAUAGCGCGUACCAUAGGAUGAGCUCAAGAGGGAUUAGGUAGGUGGUGGGGUAAUGGCAUACCAAGCCGACGAUCUCUAGCUGGUCUGAGAGGAGGACCAGCCACCCCGGUACUGAGACACGGCCCGGACGCCGACGGGAGGCAGCAGUGGGAAAUAUUGCGCAAUGGGGGCAACCUGACGCAGCCAUGCCGCGUGAAUGAAGAAGGCCUUCGGGUUGUAAAGUUCUUUCGGUGACGAGGCGUUAAUCACAGAAGAAGCACCGGCUAACUCCGUGCCAGCAGCCGCGGUAAUAC